AGUGAACGCUGGCGGUAGGCCUAACACAUGCAAGUCGAACGGCAGCACAGUAAGAGCUUGCUCUUACGGGUGGCGAGUGGCGGACGGGUGAGGAAUACAUCGGAAUCUACUUUUUCGUGGGGGAGAACGUAGGGAAACUUACGCUAAUACCGCAUACGACCUACGGGUGAAAGCAGGGGAUCUUCGGACCUUGCGCGUUUGAAUGAGCCGAUGUCGGAUUAGCUAGUUGGCGGGGUAAAGGCCCACCAAGGCGACGAUCCGUAGCUGGUCUGAGAGGAUGAUCAGCCACACUGGAACUGAGACACGGUCCAGACUCCUACGGGAGGCAGCAGUGGGGAAUAUUGGACAAUGGGCGCAAGCCUGAUCCAGCCAUACCGCGUGGGUGAAGAAGGCCUUCGGGUUGUAAAGCCCUUUUGUUGGGAAAGAAAAGCAGCAGGUUAAUACCCCGCUGUUCUGACGGUACCCAAAGAAUAAGCACCGGCUAACUUCGUG
rnacentral:rRNA from 1 species